rnacentral:tRNA from 14 species
GAAUAGUCCAAUCGCUCGAAAGUUCGACUUCAAAGCACAAGGUCGACGGUUCGAACCCCGUCAUGU